GAGCUCAAAUUUAAAAUCUGGCGUGCCUCUGGUCGUCCGAGUUGUAGUCUGGAGAAGCGUUUUCUGUGUUGGACCGUGUAUAAGUCUCUUGGAACAGGGCGUCAUAGAGGGUGAGAAUCCCGUCUUUGACACGGACUACCGACGCUUUGUGAUGCGCUCUCAAAGAGUCGAGUUGUUUGGGAAUGCAGCUCAAAAUGGGUGGUAAAUUCCAUCUAAAGCUAAAUAUAGGCGAGAGACCGAUAGCGAACAAGUACCGUGAGGGAAAGAUGAAAAGCACUUUGGAAAGAGAGUUAAACAGUACGUGAAAUUGCUGAAAGGGAAACGCUUGAAGUCAGUCAUGUCUGCCAGGACUCAGCCUCGCUUCUGCUUGGUGUACUUUCUGGUCGGAUGGGCCAGCAUCGAUUUUGACCGUUGGAGAAAGGCUUUGGGAAUGUGGCACCUUUGGGUGUGUUAUAGCCCUUUGUCGUAUGCAACGGUUGGGAUCGAGGACCGCAGCAUGCCUUUAUGGCCGGGGUUCGCCCACGUACGUGCUUAGGAUGUUGGCGUAAUGGCUUUAAGCGACCCGUCUUGAAACACGGACCAAGGAGUCUAACAUGCCUGCGAGUGUUUGGGUGGAAAACCCAUGCGCGUAAUGAAAGUGACAGCUGAGAUCCUCUCAUCAGGAGCAUCAGCGCCUGGACUCGAUCUACGGAGACGGUUCUACGGUAGAGCAUGUAUGUUGGGACCCGAAAGAUGGUGAACUAUGCCUGAAUAGGGUGAAGACAGAGGAAACUCUGGUGGAGGCUCGUAGCGAUCUUGACGUGCAAAUCGAUCGUCAAAUUUGGGUAUAGGGGGGAAAGACUAA
rnacentral:rRNA from 1 species